rnacentral:rRNA from 1 species
UACGUAGGGUGCAAGCGUUAUCCGGAAUUAUUGGGCGUAAAGGGCUCGUAGGCGGUUUGUCGCGUCUGCUGUGAAAACCGGAGGCUCAACCUCCGGCCUGCAGUGGGUACGGGCAAACUAGAGUGCGGUAGGGGAGAUUGGAAUUCCUGGUGUAGCGGUGGAAUGCGCAGAUAUCAGGAGGAACACCGAUGGCGAAGGCAGAUCUCUGGGCCGUAACUGACGCUGAGGAGCGAAAGCGUGGGGAGCGAACAGG